AAAACUCUCUAUCUAUAAUAUCUGUUACACAUCAUUACCAUCAGAAGUCUCAACAUUGAAGCAAGGUUUGAUCUGAGAUAUUCUCAGGCAGCUACAGUUAACUUACACAAUCAUGUACAUAUGAAGAAAGAAAGUUGCAGAGUCUAUGAAUUCAAAACAACAAGGAGAAAGGGACUGAAUGAUUGUUAAAACCUGACCAUCUUUAUUUAUUUUAUUUAGAGCGCAAUUUAUCUGCGACAUAGAGCAUAUGGCUGAUGUUUGUAGGAGGAUAGUUUUGAAGAAGUUUGAGGUUCGACGUGAAAUCACCAGCUAGCAGACGCCGUCGUACUAAUAUCAACAUUGCACAACAUACUCGAAGUAGCGUCUCCUGCAAAUUAAAGUUUCAUUUUCACUUGUUAGCCUUCUAUCUUACGAAACAACAAGUGCAUGUAGAGCCAAUUUACGAUAAGAUGCAAAGAGAAUCUCUAUGACUAUACCACAUACAAAAGCCAUAUCGUUGUAAAUGUCUCCUAAUUCUUCCCUACAUACAUGCACGAUAUAUUGUCCUAAACUAAGCUGCUUAGAGGUAUUGAAGUGAAACCCUUAAUGACUCAAGUCACUCACAAGAAUGGAAUCCACUUCGGAAACUGAAUAGUAAUAAAUUGAAUACUACCUGUGGACCUUCGGGGUCGCUUAAGAGUGUGUCCCAGAUGUGAAGGCUUUCCACGAAGUUGAACUCUUGAGUUAAGAGGAGUGUGAUCCAUCUGAACGCAUAGAAUUGUGGGUUUAUCUGAAAAUUGACACAUGGGGUAUCAACUGUCACAACGCUGAAACACUUCUAUAAAAUUACCGAAGCUCCAAAAAACGAAAAUUUUGAAAGCACUGGUAUAUACUGGUAUAUAUUACGGUUGCUUUUUAACAAUACAACUCUGAACCAGCAACAAUUCAUACCGGCAAAAUUUUCUAUUCCGAGACAUAAUUAAUGAAUAUAGCAAGGCGUCUCAUCAGUGAUAUCUUACUUUAGUUGUGACUUCUAGGUGACGCCAAAGUUCUUCAUCAUGAUGCUUUAAGAGCAUGGACAGCCUUGUUAUAGUGUAACGUAUACCCACCACACUGUUAUCAAGUUGCUGACAGAAAUUAUCUCGAAACCCACUCAUCAAUUCAACAAAACAGAAAAAUGCAUCUGCUUCAGCAUACGCCUGCAACACUUAAAAUGCCAGCGUUAAGCAAAUAAGGGGGGACGAGGUGGUGUUCUAUCCAAAAGACAUCCAUUAGAAGUAGAAAAAUGUGAGUAUAAAUAAAACAAGGAAAAAAAAAGAAAUGGUACAUUAGCAAGAGCUACUCACUGCAUUUCCUUUAUCUGGGUCAUUUUUAAAGAUGUAGAAGAUAGGUGCCAAUAUCUCAUUCAUCCCUUGUACAUAUCUGAUGCCAGGAUUCAACUUUGCAAAGAUAGUCAACACGUUCUUCAAAGCAUCCUGAAGAUGCAAGACAUGUACAAAAUGACCGGGAAGACUAUUAAUAUGCACAUGUUUCAACCAAACGCUUUAAAUAGGCAAACCCAAAAUCCAACCUGAUUAGAUUUUGCUACCGCUGAAUCUCCAGAGAAAAAGUGCAUGUCUGGAUGCGUACGCAUCACAUCACGGUCGAUCUGUUCCAAGACUUCCGUGUCCUGAAAGUACCAGUUUAAAAUUAGGAAGGUCAUUUUGCAGCUUUAAAUUCAACAUGAAAAAAACAGUACUAAACCACGAAGAGAAAAUGAUAUUUCAUAGUGAUUAUGUGCAGUCACCAAAGAGUUAUGCUUUUACAACCAACCGUAAGUGACAAAAUCAUGACGAAAGAAACAAAAUUUUAGAAGUGCAUAAGUGUGUGAGCAUUUACAAACUAAUAUCUGAUCAUAAUUCAGCUAUAUUAUCCAUGAUACUAUAACUUUCAGGCUACAUUCAGAACUCAAUACUAAGGUAAUAACAUCUAAACUUGACUCACAAAAUUGAUAAUAUUUGAGGAUAAUGAUAUCUCAAGCUGAAAUCUAAAUACCUUGAAAAAGUUGUUCCAUAAGCUUGUUGUUCCAAGACUUAAGGGAUGAUCCUCAUGAGUUAUCUCUGACCUUGAGAGGGCACCAGGGCUUUCGACUUUCGGAUCAUUACUAUCGCCACUCUUUGAUUUCUCCAUCUUCCUUGUUACUUCAGACUAACUAGCCACAAAAAUAUAUAGAAACCGGGGUUAUCCUAAAUAGAAAAAUAAGAAAGUGACAUGAAAAAGGAAGAGCUAUCACCCAGAUAACGUAAGCAUCUCUAUAAUGACCGAUUCUUCAUUAUUAACUACUUUAUUUAUCAUUGUACCUCUAGGAGAUAUCAUAUGCACAAUGGCCCUAGAACAGUCUGCUUAGUCAAACACAUGACAUCUAUUUAGCUGUCAUGUCAACAUAUUAAACCAACAAAUACAAGCAUGUGGAUCAAAAAAUAAUAAAAAUGUAUGCUUUCCCAUUAAACAUCACCGAAUUCUACUUAAUGACAGUCAUCAUCAUCUAAUGACAGUGAAUUUCCAUCAACACGCCCUUAGCUAGUGGCAACAACCCCAUUAUGUCUACUUCAUCACUCGUUUGUGUGUGUUCGGUCAAUCUAGCUAGUUAUCAUUUUGUAAGAGUGCCAUCAGAAGUCACAAACCAUGAAACCAAUCACUGACUACAAUGAACUCGAGCAUCAAAUGGACUUACGGGGUUCAUAAGAAGCUCCUCUUUGAAUUGCUUGUACUGAGACCUUUUCUUAGCUAACUCAGAAGACCACAGUGAGCGAUCAGGUGAAAGAUAGCCCAGUAAAAGCUGUCAAAAUCCGGAUAAACAAUAUGAAGCUAAAACUGAGAGAAACAGUUAAAACUCAAAUCCAUUCCUUUAAGAUAUUCGUUUAGGUACCUUCCAGACGAGGGAGCGAAUGCCAGCAUCAUCAGGUAGACCUUGUGAAGCAGUUCUCCUCAAUUCCUUUAAGUCUAUCACCUUCUUAGAUAACUAUCACAAAGAGCAAUCAAAAUAAAAGAAUGUACAGAGAGAGAGAGAGAGAGAUAAUGAGUUUGUGUGUGUGUGUUUAAGGACUAACCUCAGCGACGACCUGCGUCUUCCGAGAAACAUCCUCAGCCGCGGGAGUUACGCUUCCAGGUCCAUCUACCCCGCUCCCAUUCUGCAAAUCGUUAAUCUCAGAUUUGGAAGGAGGACGAAUCGGAAGAGGCGGAGCUGGUGCGGCGGAAAUCGUGGAAGGAGGAGGACGCUCGACGAUCGGAGGAGAUGGAGCGACGGCGGUGGCGGCGGGAGGAGGGCGAUCGUCGGGGAUGGGAGAAGGAGAGGAGGACCAGAGGGAACUGUUGAGCCACUCAGGGACACCUUUCUUCGCCAUUGUUUUUGAGGAAAAAUGUUUGGAGUCUCUUCUUGCUUCUUGCUACUUCUCUCUCUCUCUCGGGGGAGAGGUUAAGACCAAAAGGAGUUCCGUGUACAGCUGGCUGGCUGGCUGGGCCACGCUCUCUUAAUGCGUCCUUUUCUUUUUUCUAAAAUCCCCCUAAAUAAUACAACCUACUGCCAAAAUUGCAUAAAUUGACAUCAUUUUCCUUAUUUUCCACACUAUAUUUUUAUCUUCUUGUUACUAAACAAACUAGUGAUCGAAUUUUCACAUUUUACUAAGUCUUAAACUUAUCAUCUUUCAUGAGAUCCGUUAAACCAUUAUAAGUUAAUUUUGAUCAUAAGAUGUUAUAUCAACAUCGUGUGUAAUGAGUUGAUUUUUUCAAAAAAAAAAAAAAAGGUAAUGAGAUGACAUUAUGUUAUGGUGGGGUGGACCAUAUGAUAAACGAAAUCUAUUAAUAAGGAAAUUAACUGAGUUGAAAUACAAGCAAAGAGAUGUUACAAUGUAUAAGAAAUUGCCAACAUCAGGAACUUGAAGUUUUCUGCGAACAAGGAAUCAACCAAGAAACCGAAUCAAGCCAUAGCUAUAAACGUACCGAUCCAUUUUCUUGAGUCUUCAACAAAAUGUUUUAGAAUUCUCCAAGAAGAAGAUAGUAAGCAGCAAUAAUAAAACACAGCAGAAAAGACGCGAAGAGAAGGAAGAUGUAACAGUAUGGGAAAAGGACGAUCAUAAUCAUUAACAAGAUUAGUGAAAUCGUUCCACAACUCAUGACUGCUCUUUGCUUUUGUUGGAAGAAAACCAGGAGUUUUUUUUCUUUUUGACUUUGAACAAAAUAUUUGUCACACAAUUACUUCUUCAAUACACAAUUACUUCUUCAAUUUUUUUUAAUUUAUGAUUCAGAUCAUUUACCAAAUCAAACCAAGAAAAGAAACUUCCGUGAAAUGAUCAAAGAAUAAAAAUAUAAGAUCUGACAUCCUAAAAACUCUCUAUCUAUAAUAUCUGUUACACAUAAUUACCAUCAGAAAUCUCAACACUGAAGCAAGGUUUGAUCUGAGAUAUUCUCAGGCAGCUAAAGUUAACUUACACAAUCAUGUACAUAUGAUGAAAGAAAGUUGCAGAGUCUAUGAAUUCAAAACAACAAGGAGAAAGGGACUGAAUGAUUGUUAAAACCUGACGAUCUUUAUUUAUUUUAUUUAGAGCGCAAUUUAUCUGCGACAUAGAGCAUAUGGCUGAUGUUUGUAGGAGGAUAGUUU
rnacentral:lncRNA from 1 species